rnacentral:rRNA from 1 species
AACGAACGCUGGCGGCAUGCCUAACACAUGCAAGUCGAACGAGACCUUCGGGUCUAGUGGCGCACGGGUGCGUAACGCGUGGGAACCUGCCCUUAGGUUGGAAUAACUCCCCGAAAGGGGUGCUAAUACCGGAUAAUGUCUUCGGACCAAAGAUUUAUCGCCUUUGGAUGGGCCCGCGUUGGAUUAGCUAGUUGGUAGGGUAAAAGCCUACCAAGGCGACGAUCCAUAGCUGGUCUGAGAGGAUGAUCAGCCACACUGGGACUGAGACACGGCCCAGACUCCUACGGGAGGCAGCAGUGGGGAAUAUUGGACAAUGGGCGAAAGCCUGAUCCAGCAAUGCCGCGUGAGUGAUGAAGGCCUUAGGGUUGUAAAGCUCUUUUACCCGGGAUGAUAAUGACAGUACCGGGAGAAUAGGCUCCGGCUAACUCCGUG